CCUUACAGGAGAGCACCAGGGCAGAGAUGAGAAAAGGAAGAGGCGGCUGCAUGGGCUCAAACGCUGAGCUGCACCACUCCUGUUGCACAACCUCUCUGGGCUGGUGCUCCUUCCAUAGACCACACCCACUUGGGGAGAAGCACCCCCACCAUGCUCAGGGCCGUCCUUGGCAAUAACUGCUGCUGCUGUUAGCUUUACACUGUGGCUGGGAUGGUGGUCCCAGGAGCCGGGAACAAGAGAAGACUGAAGGGUGAACAGCGAAGGGACUCAACCAUGCACGUGCAUGUAUCCAUUCCCUUGGCAAGCAAUUCUGAGACACCAUCAAGAACCAUGACUCUCACAGGAAAACCAAGCAAUGCAGCACCCACACCCUGAGCCACCUCCUCCAAUGGCUCUUACCUGCCGGGAGGCAAGACUGCUCUGCCCGAGUCACCCAGGGCUGGCACCAGACAGCCGGAGGCCACCCUACAGCCCAGGGCCCCCGAC
ensembl:lncRNA